rnacentral:rRNA from 1 species
UACAGAGGUCUCAAGCGUUGUUCGGAUUCAUUGGGCGUAAAGGGUGCGUAGGUGGCGCCGUAAGUCGGGUGUGAAAUUUCGGAGCUUAACUCCGAAACUGCAUUCGAUACUGCGGUGCUUGAGGACUGGAGAGGAGACUGGAAUUCAUGGUGUAGCAGUGAAAUGCGUAGAGAUCAUGAGGAAGACCAGUGGCGAAGGCGGGUCUCUGGUACGUGACUGACGCUGAGACGCGAAAGCGUGGGGAGCGAACAGG